GACGAACGCUGGCGGCGUGCCUAAUACAUGCAAGUAGAACGCUGAAGCGAGGAGCUUGCUCUUCUUGGAUGAGUUGCGAACGGGUGAGUAACGCGUAGGUAACCUGCCUGGUAGCGGGGGAUAACUAUUGGAAACGAUAGCUAAUACCGCAUAAAAUGGAUUAUCGCAUGAUAAUCCAUUGAAAGGUGCAAAUGCAUCACUACCAGAUGGACCUGCGUUGUAUUAGCUAGUUGGUGGGGUAACAGCUCACCAAGGCGACGAUACAUAGCCGACCUGAGAGGGUGAUCAGCCGCCCUGGGAGUGAGACACGGCCCAGACUCCUACGGGUGGCAGCAGGAGGGAAUCGUCGGGAAUGGGUGGAAGUCUGAGCGAGAAACGCCGCGUGAGUGAAGAAGGUUGUCGGAUCGUGAAGCUCGGUUGUCGGGGAAGAACGAGUGUGAGAGUGGAACGUUCACACUGUGACGGUAUCUGAUCAGAAAGCGACGGCUAACUACGUG
rnacentral:rRNA from 1 species